AUUGAACGCUGGCGGCAUGCUUUACACAUGCAAGUCGAACGGUAACAGGCCUUCGGGUGCUGACGAGUGGCGCACGGGUGAGUAAUGCAUCGGAACGUGCCCAGAGGUGGGGGAUAACGCAGCGAAAGCUGUGCUAAUACCACAUGUGAUCUGAGGAUGAAAGCGGGGGACCAAGCAGCAAUGUUUGGCCUCGCGCCUCUGGAGCGGCCGAUGUCAGAUUAGGUAGUUGGUGGGGUAAAGGCCUACCAAGCCGACGAUCUGUAGCUGGUCUGAGAGGACGACCAGCCACACUGGGACUGAGACACGGCCCAGACUCCUACGGGAGGCAGCAGUGGGGAAUUUUGGACAAUGGGCGCAAGCCUGAUCCAGCAAUGCCGCGUGCGGGAAGAAGGCCUUCGGGUUGUAAACCGCUUUUGUACGGAACGAAAAGGCUCUGGCUAAUACCUGGGGCUGAUGACGGUACCGUAAUAAUAAGCACCGGCUAACUACGUG
rnacentral:rRNA from 1 species